rnacentral:rRNA from 1 species
UACGGGGGGAGCAAGCGUUGUUCGGAUUUACUGGGCGUAAAGGGCGCGUAGGCGGCCAGCGCAAGUCAGUUGUGAAAUCUCCGGGCUUAACUCGGAAAGGUCAACUGAUACUGCGCGGCUAGAGUGCGGAAGGGGCAACUGGAAUUCUCGGUGUAGCGGUGAAAUGCGUAGAUAUCGAGAGGAACACCUGCGGCGAAGGCGGGUUGCUGGGCCUUUUCUGACGCUCAUGUACGAAAGCGUGGGGAGCAAACGGG